GGUAUCGUGGCGGAACUGGUAGACGCGUCUCAAAAUGAGAUGGCAUAAGGUUGAGAGUGGCCAUGUUAAAGCCUUUGUAAGUCCUUGCAGGUUCGAAUCCUGCCGGUAUCA
rnacentral:tRNA from 1 species